AUUGAACGCUGGCGGCAUGCUUUACACAUGCAAGUCGAACGGUAACAGGCCGCAAGGUGCUGACGAGUGGCGGACGGGUGAGUAAUGCAUCGGAACGUGCCCAGUCGUGGGGGGUAACUACUCGAAAGAGUAGCUAAUACCGCAUACGAUCUAUGGAUUAAAGCGGGGGACCGUAAGGCCUCGCGCGAUUGGAGCGGCCGAUGUCAGAUUAGGUAGUUGGUGGGGUAAAGGCUCACCAAGCCAACGAUCUGUAGCUGGUCUGAGAGGACGACCAGCCACACUGGGACUGAGACACGGCCCAGACUCCUACGGGAGGCAGCAGUGGGGAAUUUUGGACAAUGGGCGCAAGCCUGAUCCAGCAAUGCCGCGUGCAGGAAGAAGGCCUUCGGGUUGUAAACUGCUUUUGUACGGAACGAAACGGCUCUGGUUAAUACCCGGGGCUAAUGACGGUACCGUAAGAAUAAGCACCGGCUAACUACGUG
rnacentral:rRNA from 1 species